ACACACACACACACACACACCAUAUUUUGGCACUGAACAUCGGAGGUUGUGUGUGCCUCCUCCUCCAGCACCUCCCACAGCCUCCCAGCACCCAUCCUGCAGGACACAAGAAAUGGGCGGCCCAGGAACAAGUUGGCAAGGACAUGAGGCAGCACUCAGCACCCCAUGAGAAGAGGAAGAUGUGGCACUACCUGGCACUCCCUUCCUAUGCUGCCCUCACGUGCGACACCCCAGCAUGCUGAGACACAACCUGUGGGAGUUGAAUCGAUGUUCAGCACCUCAGCCCAUAGAAGCACAAAAAGUGUUACCUUCACUAAUCUGAGGUAUGUGGCACUUCCGGUACUCCCUGCACUCCCUUCCUAUGCUACCCUUAUGUGUGAUACCCCAGUGUGCUGUGACACAACAGCCUGGCUCUCUCCCUGCCCAGCACACCACCAUCAACCAUCAGC